rnacentral:lncRNA from 1 species
AUCUUGUGCCAAACUUUCCCAUGCUCACCCAUUAAAUUACAGUUGCAAAGGUUGGACCAAGAGUUGAACAGCUGCAACCCUUCAGAUGCGAUGCAAUUGCCGCAACAGAUUCCUGUUUGUUCAAGGACACCCUUGCAUUCCUUUCCUUCCAACAGACACAUGUUAUCACACCAAUCGGCAUAAGCACAACUGGCUGGGCUGCUUUGGAGAAUUCCUUUUCCUCC